UCCUGGAUCUGGACCAACCGGAGCUCAUCUAGAACCGGUCUCCCUGCAGAGACGCAGCUGGAACUGGUUCAGAAUCAGCAAGUGGAUCAGAACCGGACCUGGAUCUGGUUAACGAGAAAGGAUCUCCUGCAGUGGAUCUGGAGAAACUGAAGACACUGCUGUGGAACGACACUCUGAUGAAGAGGAGGCUCAGGUUCACCCUAAUUAUCCUCGUUUAUUAAGAUUCCUUCUUUGUAAAAUCCUCUCCGCGGGUUCAGGAGGAACCUUCACCCAGAGCAGAACCGGCCUUCUUUAUCUGGUUGCUCUGAUGCUGCUGCCCCAACAGAUGAAGGCAGGAGGUCCGGUCUGCUUUGUCCCUUCUUCUAGACACUAUGACCUUCAGACUGCUGGGAGGAUCCCAGACUAAAUGGAAUGCAGCCCUGCAGCUCCUGUAGCUCCAUCGCAUCAGCAGUGACACUGAAAAUAAGCAAAGAUUAU